rnacentral:lncRNA from 1 species
CAUGGGUUUCUAGGUCAAAAGAAGGAGGAUUUGAUCUGGAUAUGGCAUACAUCACUGAGAAUAUAAUUGCAAUGGGAUUCCCUGUAGGCGUCUUUGGAUACGUUGAGUUUAGACUUUUGAUAAUUUUUUAAGGGAUUUUACCGUAACCACAUGGAGGAAGUAAUCAAGUUCUUUGAAGCUAAGCACAAGGGCGCUAUUGGAGGUGAGGACCGUGAGGUGGUACGGUGGCGCCCUUCAUACCCUCCGGCAUAAGACAUUCGUCUUGUAUAUUUCUAUUCUAAUGGUAACACAUUUGACCCUUGUUUUUGUGUCGAUAGUUAGAUACCUCCAAGGAAGACUGCAACUUCCUACAGGUUUUUAUUAGAAUCUCUAAAGUCUGAACUUAUUAUUGAAGAUGUACAGUUGACUUGUC